rnacentral:rRNA from 1 species
GGUUAAGCGACUAAGCGUACACGGUGGAUGCCCUGGCAGUCAGAGGCGAUGAAGGACGUGCUAAUCUGCGAAAAGCGUCGGUAAGGUGAUAUGAACCGUUAUAACCGGCGAUGUCCGAAUGGGGAAACCCAGUGCAAUUCGUUGCACUAUCGUUAACUGAAUACAUAGGUUAACGAGGCGAACCGGGGGA